rnacentral:rRNA from 1 species
UACGUAGGGGGCAAGCGUUGUCCGGAUUUAUUGGGCGUAAAGAGCGUGUAGGCGGCCUUACAGGUCAGCUGUGAAAACUCGAGGCUCAACCUCGAGACGUCGGUUGAAACCGUAUGGCUAGAGUCCGGAAGAGGAGAGUGGAAUUCCCGGUGUAGCGGUGAAAUGCGCAGAUAUCGGGAGGAACACCAGUGGCGAAGGCGGCCGGGCUGGG